ACUGAUUAAGCACGUAUUCAUUCAUUGACAUUGCAUUAACAACCUACAUAGCUGUAUACGUACGACCUCCAUACGAAUGUAGGUAAAAGGGCUCUGCAAUCGACAGCAUCAGGGUGAUAGCAGCUAAACAACAAAUUGUUGUUUUCGCAACACAUUGUACAACGCAGCGACCGUCAGUGCGCACGCGCUACUUUAAAAAACGCGAGUUUUCCGCCGUUUGAAAAUUCACGUUCUUAAUACGAAUUUCAAAACAGUGAUUUGAGUGAUUGAAUUUUGAUUUAAAAAAAAGAAGAAAAUUAGAAAUUAAUAAAAAGUGAAGUUACAUGUCAAAGGAAUUGUGUCAAACAACCUUAAACCAUAAAAAAGUAAAUAAAAAUCAGUGGCAAUGAUUAACAUCGGAUAAAAUCCAAACACAUUAUAUAAAAGA